rnacentral:lncRNA from 1 species
CAGGAUUUGACCAGCUGGGAUUCUGAGCUGGUCAAAUCCUGAGCUGAGCUGGAUUUUCCGCUACGUUAAUUCCUUGACUUUCUUUGUGAUGGCAGAAAUAUGUUUGGCAGAUGCGGGUUUCCGUAGCUGUGUAGAGACAUGGAAGGUCAUGCAUGUUACAAAAGCUAGACGCGAAUGAACCGGCAGUGUUUGUUACCACGGGCUCCUCCUUUUAAAAGAACCCAAUAAGCUCUCCGUGGCUGGCAGGGAGCUGCACAGCACAGGCAUGGAUGGAGGCCUGGAGCUGACGGAGUUCGACCGCGGGAUGGUGGUCGGGGCCCUGAAAACCGGCAAGUCUGUGAAGGACAUUGUAAAGAUCCUAGGCCUCAAACGGCAGGCGGUGGAGAAGUUUGUGGCGGACUGGGAGGACGGAAAAGUUGAUCCAGAAACUGGCCUAUACAAAGUGUUCAGCAGUGACAGCUGUGAAAUCCAGGACACAGACACUGCUCAGAUGUCCUAGUGAGUGUGCUGGAAGUCACCUCCUGCCACAUGCUAAACAGUCUCUUCACCCCUAGGCAUGUGGAACGUCUCUCCUGCUCCCAGCUGAAUUAUCCAAGCAAACCUGGGGAUGUACUUUUAUUUUCUGGCAUUUGGGAGAAUUCUCUCUUAAUUCUUCUCUUUUGGUUUUAGGACCACCCUGAAGAAAGGCUAUUCUUUUCAGUAAGUUUUAUAAAUGAUUUUUCAACUGAACUGUUGUAAGUUCUUUGUUGAAGUUUACCAGUGCUGCUGUGUUUAUGUUUCAUUUAUAAAGUGAGUGUAGGUGGUUUCUGAAGGAACAAAAACUAAACAAAACUAAAUGCUAUUAGUUAACUGUUACUUGCUAUUUGAAGGCUGAAUCAGUGGAGUAGUUGAAAGGCCUGUGGUCAGUAUGAAUGACACCUAGCAGUUGUAAAGGAAUGUCCAAAUAAUGGCUUGUACUGUAAAUGUCUGUAAAUCUUGUUCUAAUUGUAUCUGCGUUUGGCAGUGCUGUAACGUAUUGGUCUUGCCAAUAAAACUGUUUGAAUUGACAGAAUUAAAGGUAUUUCAUACUAUGUCUUGGAGUCAGCCUGAGUUUAAAAAAAGUUGGCUUGCAUUUCCCAGCUGGAUUGCCCUACUGAGAAGGUUUAGAAUAAAAUGUAUUUGCAGUUUACCAGUAA